UAAGAAAAUUAUAAGUUAAAAUUUUUAUAUAUAGAAAUAUAAAUUAGUAUAUGUAAAUAUGUUUAUUUCUUUUUUUUAAAAAAACUUUUUUUUGACAUAUGUUAACAUCUCAAUGGUAUACCUGACAUGUGUCAUGAUCUCGUGAGUUAGUAACUUUCAAAACCGUACUUUAUAUAAUAAGAUACGGUCUAUAUUAUCAAUUUGAAACGACAUAAUAUAAUUGAGAGGAGAUUAAAGAUUGGCGAGGAAGCAAGAACAUAAUCUGUCACCGCUUCGAUCAAUUCUUAUGUAAGUUUUUUAUGUCCGUUUCUUCUAGGUUUUAAUUUGAUGAAGUCAGAUUUGGAUUUUAGUCGAAGUCGAUUUCUAUUAGGUUGCAAUACUUUUUCCUAAUAAGUAGUUGACUUUGAGUUUAAGCU
rnacentral:sRNA from 1 species